CAAGGUUACACUUCACGGCCUACACCUGCUCCUGCCUGUCAGAAUUAAAUCUGGAGAGUGCUGAGUAGCUCUGUAAUCUGCGUCAUUUGAAGAUACAGCUUUUCACCUAUACAGCAAAGUGCAAUCUUAAUUUGGGCUUUAUGAUGAGAGCAACAAAGUCCCAGGAGGAAAAUACUCUCUUUACAAUUUUUUUAUUUUUUUAUUUAGGGUGAAAAAUAGGAUGAAUAUCCAUUUUGGGAUUUUAUAGCCUUUCUUAACUAUCCUUUUUCUUUACACAUGUUAAUAAAAUAUAAAAGAAGAAACAAGAAAGAGAAGAGAAAAGAGAAGAGAAGAGAGAGAAGAGAAGAGAAGAGAAGAGAAGAGAAGAGAAGAGAAGAGAAGAGAAGAGAAGAGAAGAGAAGAGAAGAGAAGAGAAGAGAAGAGAAGAGAAGAGAAGAGAAGAGAAGAGAAGAGAAGAGAGAACAAAAAGCAAUGGAAAAGGCUUAAAAUAAGUCCUGUCAUUUCAAAGAGCUUAUCAUUGUAUUUUGUUUCCUAUUUUCAGAACAAAUUCUCUGUUAAAAAACAAGUGCCCAAUAUUCUGUAAACUGUCUUGCAGUAUUUCUGCAAGACAUCUCCCUACAUAUAACAGUUUUAUAAUCCACAACUCUAACCCAGAGUUUUUAAGACUUCAAGAAUCAUCCAGUAAAUCUGUGCCAUUGGGCUACAUAAAUUAAUGUUUCCCAAAGUCCUUGAUCUUGAUGCCUUCUAUCUUAGAAUUCUAGAAUGGUUUGGUGUGGAAGAGACCUUAAGUGUCAUGUAGUUCCAAUCCCUCCAAUCCCAUGGGCAGGAGCAUCUUCCACAACACCAGGUUGUUCAGAGCUCCUUCCAACCCAGCCUUAUCUUGUACAUGUUAUCUACAUUAAUCUGAAUAAUAAUUAUUCAUCCUAACCUGUAAAAUCAGCUAUGUACCUGUUACUUCAUUAUAAUAUUCAAAAUUAAAGGUAUUUUGAUUAUUUCUUCCAGGUGACAUUUUUUGUGAAGAUGAAUUUGCUUAAACUCUAUCUAUCAAAAUAAAAAAGUAUGAA
rnacentral:lncRNA from 1 species